CAAACAAAACUGUGUUCACGUGUUUUUACCUGAACCUCCUUAAUGUUGUUGGACGUCACCAACAGGCCGAUACCGAUGGGGAUGAAGAGGAGUCCGGUGAUGAAGAGGGCCAGGAAUACGGUUCCUGUGGUGAGGACGGGCUUCCAUGCGGGCAGUUUCUGUUGUUUAAAUGACGAGUUUUGUGAAUUGUUGCUCUGCGUUUCUGCCCGCCGUGGUCUGAACAAGGACACGUGCCCUCCAUCGCCAUUGGCAGUGUAGCGGGACAUUACGUUGGCUCCUGUUGCAAGAUAAUGCUACUUAAUUAACAGGGUUGCUUGCUUCCUCGUGACUGUCCCUCAAAAAUAUGUCGUUUUAUGUUAUUGAAUGGCGUCACACGGGAUCAAACAACGCAAUAAAGUUCAGUUUACGAACAACCAGCGAGUGGUGACGUCACUCCAACAUGGAGUCAGGGGUUCACCCAAAUAAAAGUCAAUGAUGAAGAUCGCCACUUAUUGCAUAAGUCACUGCACUAUAUUGUUUCACAUUCAUCACACAAAGUUGAACAUAUUUUUUAUUUGGAUACUCAAUUCAAUACACAGUGUGGCUGAAAACCUCCUAAAAGUGAUGGGUGAGAUUAAAAGGGUAUUUACUGACUGGGGCCAUGUCCAGCAUAGAAAACAUUCAAUAGUUGGCUGACUCUAACUUGCCAAAAUGAUCAGCUGAUCAGAUCAGAUCCCCGAUCACACCUCAAGAGAUUGCCAUGGCAACGCCUGAUGGCUCAGCUCUCCCCUAUUGGUGCAGAGGACUUCCUCAGUUCGAUUUUCAGCAGCUGGCCCUCACGUGACUCUAACUUUGUCGCCGUGGACGCGUCCAGAGUCUUGCUGCUGACUGUCAAAGCCCUUGACACAGGGAGUGGUGUGGCCGACUGCACCUCCCAACUGGGCUGGAAGUUGAAACACAAUUUAGUGGAAGUGUUCUACAUUGCUACUGCACAAUACUUUUUUAAAAAUCGUACUAUAAUUAUUUUACACACGACCUGAUCCAGCAUGACUGACUGGACACUCUCAAUUGAUGAUGAUAAACCACAAACCAAGUGGAAACAUACAUGUUUUGUAAAAUAUAUGUUUUGUAAAAUAUUAAUAAUUGAUGUGAAAAACGUCUGAUGUUACAUAUAUCAGUGAUCCCCAACCGGUACCGCGCCGUGGGUCAUUUAGUACUGGGCCGCACAGAAAGAAAAAAAUUUGUUUUAUUUUGAAAUGUGGCCGGAUUCUCUGUUACAUCCGCUCACUUGACGCAAGUCCAUUGUGCGUGUGCUAACUUUCUCUCGACUGCUGCUGUAUCUUUAGCAUUUUUUUUCACCUCAUAUUUGGUCUCAAAUGCUGAUACUAUGUGGGAAUGCAUAAAGAGUCAGGGGUCACCCGGAUGUGAAGCGGCUGGCCUGACUUUUGGGACGUGGAAACCUCAGGUGAGAGAAGAGGCGUCCUCUCAGGAGUGGUGUGCUUGACAGAGAUGGCCUCUCCCUUCUUCAUCCAUGGCAUCCACGACCUCCUGGCCUCUGACUCUGCUGACGCUGGCGGGACUGACUUGCGGAUGAAGCCUGCCGCUGUGUCAUCAUCGGCAGACUCAUUGGCCAACACAUCAGUCUGCACAGCUGUGGAUGCAACUUGGUCUGGUGACUGGGGGCGGGGCGGAGCAACGAGGCAGAUGGACGCAAUGGACAUUUAACAUGAUUCAUACAGCCCGCAUGCGGCCACACCAGGAAAAUACCAGCAGGUUUGAGCUGCUUCGACGUCUGACAUGAACACAAAGUGUUCUGCGGCCAUGGCAACAGCCUUCAUGACAGCAAACAAGAAGACGACCCCCACCUCCAGACGCCUGAGCUGAAUUAGCAGCGUGAUGUCAUGCUCUUUCAUUGGUCAGCCUACAGCUGUUGGUCACAACUCAACCCAUGGAUGCCAUGGAGACCACAGGCCAACUUGUCUGCUCGGUGGACCACAAUGCAACAACGAUAUAACACACGCCAACGGUCACGCAAGUGUAAAAAGAAGUAAACCACUGUCCAAACCACUUACACUUAACUUUCUCGUGUUUGCACCUGUCAUACAAGCGUAAAAAGAAGUGAGGCCUCACGUCCGUGAUCAGUAUAAUGUCUUGCAGGUGUUUCGUAUUUUCAUGAGAGGUUCCACACAACAAGACACUCGUGCACGUUACUGGCGCGGAAGAUGGCAUCUCACCUGCAGGUCACGCCGCGCUUGUCCUUUUUCUCAAAGGAGACGCUGAACGACGGCUCCUCUUCAUGGUGUCCGAGUCCUCCAGCCUGCCACGGCGCCUCUAUUUAUAAGCCGAGCGCUCGGAUCAACUGUCAGCCUGACCACGCCUCCCCGUCCUCCUCCUGCUCCAUGCAGCGUUAUCAUAAAGACUGACAUGAUUGUAUUACAGUAUGUUGUUCCUUUCCAGUGCUAUUUGGGCAUUUAAAGACUUGAUCAUUGAGUGCAAUGUCAGUCAAACACAAAAGAUACUUUCCACUGGAGUAAAAGUUUGAAAGUAGCUGCUUGCUAAAAAAAAUAUAUAUAUAUAUACAUAUAUAUAUAUAUAUAUAUAUAUGUAUAAUAUAUAAAUACAGUAGUAUAGAACAAGUGUGUCCACAGUGUGGCCCGGGGGUCCAUUUGCGACCCGCAGCUGUUUUUUUUAUUGGCUCAC